rnacentral:rRNA from 1 species
GAUGAACGCUGGCGGCGUGCUUAACACAUGCAAGUCGAACGAACAUGUCUUUCGGGAUAUGUUAGUGGCAGACGGGUGCGUAACACGUGGGUGACCUGCCCUGGAGUGGGGAAUAACUAUCCUAACGGAUAGCUAAUACCGCAUAUGCUCGGUGGUUCGUUCCGCUGAGUAAAGUCGCAAGACGCUUUGGGAUGGGCCUGCGGCGGAUUAGGUAGUUGGUGGGGUAAUGGCCUACCAAGCCGAUGAUCCGUAGGGGGCGUGAGAGCGCGGCCCCCCACACUGGCACUGAGAUACGGGCCAGACUCCUACGGGAGGCAGCAGUGAGGAAUAUUGCGCAAUGGGCGAAAGCCUGACGCAGCAACGCCGCGUGAGGGACGAAGGCCUUCGGGUCGUAAACCUCUUUUCUGGGGAAAGAGACAGGACGGUACCUCAGGAAUAAGUCUCGGCUAACUACGUG